rnacentral:rRNA from 1 species
GAUGAACGCUGGCGGCGUGCCUAAUACAUGCAAGUCGAGCGAACAGAUGAGGAGCUUGCUCCUCUGACGUUAGCGGCGGACGGGUGAGUAACACGCGGAUAACCUACCUAUAAGACUGGGAUAACUUCGGGAAACCGGAGCUAAUACCCGACAAUAUAUUGAACCGCAUGGUUCAAUAGUGAAAGACGGUUUUGCUGUCACUUAUAGAUGGAUCCGCGCCGCAUUAGCUAGUUGGUAAGGUAACGGCUUACCAAGGCAACGAUGCGUAGCCGACCUGAGAGGGUGAUCGGCCACACUGGAACGGAGACACGGUCCAGACUCCUACGGGAGGCAGCAGUAGGGAAUCUUCCGCAAUGGGCGAAAGCCUGACGGAGCAACGCCGCGUGAGUGAUGAAGGUCUUCGGAUCGUAAAACUCUGUUAUUAGGGAAGAACAAAUGUGUAAGUAACUAUGCACGUCUUGACGGUACCUAAUCAGAAAGCCACGGCUAACUACGUG